rnacentral:rRNA from 1 species
CCAACUAUCGAAGUGAUGGCAGCAGUGGGGGAAUCUUGGACAAUAUGCUAACGCAAUGAUCCAGCAAUAUCAAAGAAAUGAAGAAGAUUCAGGAGAUCGUAAAGUUUUCACAAUAAGGGAACAAAUUAAUACAUUGAUUAACUGACAUUUACUUUAUUGUUAAGCUCCGACUAACUUACGUGCCAGCAGUCGCGGUAAUACGGGGGGAGCAAGUGUUACUCAUGCUGAUUGGGCGCGCAACUUACCCUAAUCUCGAUUCGAGGAGGUAGUGACAAGAAAUACCGAUGCGGGACCUACGGGUGCCGCGUUCGGAAUGAGUACGAUUCGAACCACCUAACGAGGAACGAUCGGAGGGCAAGUCUGGUGCCAGCAGCCGCGGUAAUUCCAGCUCCAAUAGCGUACGUUAAAGUUGCUGCAGUUAAAAAGC